UACGGAGGGGGCUAGCGUUGUUCGGAAUUACUGGGCGUAAAGCGCACGUAGGCGGCUAUCCAAGUUGGGGGUGAAAUCCCUGGGCUUAACCCAGGAACUGCCUUCAAAACUGGAUGGCUAGAGUCCGAGAGAGGUGAGUGGAAUUUCCAGUGUAGAGGUGAAAUUCGUAGAUAUUGGAAAGAACACCAGUGGCGAAGGCGGCUCACUGGCUCGGUACUGACGCUGAGGUGCGACAGCGUGGGGAGCAAACAGGAUUAGAUACCCUGGUAGUCCACGCCGUAAACGAUGGGUGCUAGUUGUCAGGCAGCUUGCUGUUUGGUGACGCAGCUAACGCAUUAAGCACCCCGCCUGGGGAGUACGGUCGCAAGAUUAAA
rnacentral:rRNA from 1 species